GAUGAAGAACGUAGCGAAAUGCGAUAAGUAAUGCGAAUUGCAGAAUUCAGUGAAUCAUCGAAUCUUUGAACGCACAUUGCGCCCGCUAGUAUUCUGGCGGGCAUGCCUGUCUGAGCGUCAUUUCAACCCUCGCCCCCGGCUUUUGCUGGGAGCGGUGUUGGGGAUCGGCCGCCCGUCACUGGGAGGCCGGCCCCGAAAUAGAGUGGCGACCACGCCGUGUGCUCCUCUGCGUAGUAGUAAAUCACCUCGCAGGCGGACAGCGGCGCGGCCUGCCGUAAAACCCCCAACUCUUUCUGGUUGACCUCAGAUCAGGUAGGAAUACCCGCUGAACUUAAGCAUAUCAAUAAGCGGAGGA
rnacentral:misc_RNA from 1 species